rnacentral:rRNA from 1 species
UAAGAUGAAAAUGAAAUAGUAUUAGAGUAGUAAUAGUUAAGAUCUUGAAACUCAAAAAAUUUGGCGGUAUUUUAGACCAUUCAGAGGAACCUGUAGUAUAAUCGAUAAUCCACGUUGGACCUUACUUUAUCUUGUAAUUGAUCAGUUUGUAUACCGCCGUUAUUUGAAAAUUUUAUAAGAAAAAUAAUUUUCAUAAAUUUUUAUAAAAAAGUAAAUCAGGUCAAGGUGCAGCUUAUGAUAAAGUAUUUAUGGGUUACAAUAAAUUUAUUUAAACGGACAAUAAAAUGAAAUAUUUAUUUGAAGGUGGAUUUGAAAGUAAAUUCUUAUAGAUAAAAGAAUUGAUUUUGGCUCUAAAGUAUGCACACAUCGCCCGUCACUCUUGUUAAUAAUAUAAGAUAAGUCGUAACAUAGUAGAGGUACCGGAAGGUGCCUCUAGAAAGACAAUUUAAAGCUUUAAGGAAGCAUUUCAUUUACACUGAAAGGAUGUUGUUCAAAUCAAUAUAAAUUGAUAUAGUAUAAUUAUUAUUAAUUAUUAUUAUUUUAUUGAUUAUUAGAAAUAACUAUAAUAUAUGUUUUAGUAUUUUAUAAAGAAUAAAUAAUUUAUAUAAUAGUGAAUUAUGUAACUUGAGUGAAUUUUGAAAUAAUUGAAAAAUAUAUAAUUAAAAA